rnacentral:rRNA from 1 species
AGUGAACGCUGGCGGUAGGCCUAACACAUGCAAGUCGAACGGCAGCACAGUAAGAGCUUGCUCUUACGGGUGGCGAGUGGCGGACGGGUGAGGAAUACAUCGGAAUCUACUUUUUCGUGGGGGAUAACGUAGGGAAACUUACGCUAAUACCGCAUACGACCUACGGGUGAAAGCAGGGGAUCUUCGGACCUUGCGCGAUUGAAUGAGCCGAUGUCGGAUUAGCUAGUUGGCGGGGUAAAGGCCCACCAAGGCGCCGAUCCGUAGCUGGUCUGAGAGGAUGAUCAGCCACACUGGAACUGAGACACGGUCCAGACUCCUACGGGAGGCAGCAGUGGGGAAUAUUGGACAAAGGGCGCAAGCCUGAUCCAGCCAUACCGCGUGGGUGAAGAAGGCCUUCGGGUUGUAAAGCCCUUUUGUUGGGAAAGAAAAGCAGCAGGUUAAUACCCCGCUGUUCUGACGGUACCCAAAGAAUAAGCACCGGCUAACUUCGUG